CGGGGCCAUCCCCCAGGUUUGAAGUGCCCCUUCAAACCAGCCACAUCAUGUGUUCCUGAGCCUCUCCAGUGGCUCCAGAGAAUGUGGUGUUGGCAAAAUAAUGCCACAGGGGAAGAUGAGAAGCCAUUCUCCAGUUUUCUGUCACACACACACCACUCCCAACUCCCCAGCCUCCACUUCUCUAAGACUUUGGGACUGGGGGCCAAGAGGUCUGGUUCUACUUUCUGCAGGCCAACAAAGUCCUAAAUAUACUGCCAUAUGACUGGUUCCAAAGACAUCCAGCCAUUUAUUCUGAGUAUCAGAAUGCUUGGGAGAAGAGAGAGAGCCCCAUGUUUAACUCAUAGAACCUCUGAAUCUUAGAGCAUGGUCCUUCAUCACCGCCUAAAUCCACCUCUCCCAUAUCCUCAAUGAAAGAGUAAAAACAGAAAUCAGAAUCUUAAAAUAUUACACCUUUAACAUCAUCUAGGCUACGUGUCCCAAUUUUACAAGUGAGAAAACUACGGCCAAGGGAAGUGAAUGGAGUUGGUCAGGAAAAAGACUAGUUCUCCUGACUCCCAGGCUAGGAUUCUUUCCACUGGGUCUCCAGACUCAAGAGCAAUAAGAAUCAAGCAAGUUAAUACAAAAGAUUAAUGAUCCCAUGCUCCUGUUGCUUUGGGGGACAUCUGAAAAUAGAAGCUGAGAAGUUCUUAGGGAGGGAGAAAAAAUUACAGGGGCUUGCUGGUGGGUCUCUCUGCUGAGAGCAGACCUGGAUCAAGUACCUACCAUGGCUCAGGGCCAGAUCUGAGACCCAGGAGAAAUGAGAGCUUCUCUUGUUUAGAAGCUUUAGAAGCUGACCUGGAAACUGGAGAGGUCUUACUCUUCCUGUGACAUGGGUUCUGGAUCUCCAACAAAAGCUCCUAAAGGCAAGGAUUGUGGCUUGCAUUAUCUUCUCAUCUCCCAAAAACUUGUCCAGCUCCAGGCCUCCUGAUUGAUUGAUGAUGCUUGCCAUAGAGAUGAAAUCAUCCUGGCUCUGUGGGCAAAGGUCUCUGUCCUGAUUAACCCUCAGACUGGCUGCAUCACUGAACUGCAAGUGCACCAGCCUUCCGGUGCUCCACAUUCUAGUUGCCCCCAUCUUCCAGGGGGCUGGAUUAGCACAGCACAUCCCAAGGGUCAUGGGCUUGCCUGCUGGCCUAGGGAGGUUGCUUCCCAUCCUCAGGGCUCUGACCUCAUAGACUGCACAGGGGAUGAAAGUAGAGGCUGGUCUUGAACUUCUGGCCUCAAGUGAUCCACCCACCUUUGCCUCCCAAAGUGCUGGGAUUACAGGCGUGAGCCACCAUGCCUGGCCUGGGAUGGUGUUAAUAUGACUAGAGGGAUGUCUGAUAGAAGGGAAACACAGCAAGUAAAGAGCAACUGAAAGGCCGGAUGGAAUUAAGGUAACUAAUCAGCUG
rnacentral:lncRNA from 1 species